UACGAAGGGGGCUAGCGUUGUUCGGAAUCACUGGGCGUAAAGGGCGCGUAGGCGGCUUUAUAAGUCGGGGGUGAAAGCCUGUGGCUCAACCACAGAAUUGCCUUCGAUACUGUAUGGCUUGAGACCGGAAGAGGUAAGUGGAACUGCGAGUGUAGAGGUGAAAUUCGUAGAUAUUCGCAAGAACACCAGUGGCGAAGGCGGCUUACUGGUCCGGUUCUGACGCUGAGGCGCGAGAGCGUGGGGAGCAAACAGG
rnacentral:rRNA from 1 species